GAUGAACGCUGGCGGCGUGCCUAACACAUGCAAGUCGAGCGAUUCUCUUCGGAGAAGAGCGGCGGACGGGUGAGUAACGCGUGGGUAACCUGCCCUGUACACACGGAUAACAUACCGAAAGGUAUGCUAAUACGAGAUAAUAUACUUUUAUCGCAUGGUAGAAGUAUCAAAGUUUUUGCGGUACAGGAUGGACCCGCGUCUGAUUAGCUAGUUGGUAAGGUAACGGCUUACCAAGGCGACGAUCAGUAGCCGACCUGAGAGGGUGAUCGGCCACAUUGGAACUGAGACACGGUCCAAACUCCUACGGGAGGCAGCAGUGGGGAAUAUUGCACAAUGGGCGAAAGCCUGAUGCAGCAACGCCGCGUGAGCGAUGAAGGCCUUCGGGUCGUAAAGCUCUGUCCUCAAGGAGGAUAAUGACGGUACUUGAGGAGGAAGCCCCGGCUAACUACGUGCCAGCCGCCGCCGUAA
rnacentral:rRNA from 1 species